CCUACAAAAGGGAAUUUUAAGCAAAGCUACCAGUAAAAAAAAAAAUUAUCAAUCUGUUAUAUGGGGGAAAUUUCAGAUAGCCUGCAAAAUAUAACACAUGUAGAUAAAGACUGGUGGUAUAAGUACAGUCUGUUACAAAGAGAACACAUCCUGUGAAGAUUCUAAACAGAAAAAGAACAUGAUUAUAUUUGAUGGUUUUAAAGUGCUCCCUAGGACAAAUUGGAGAAGUUUUAGAGAAAUAUGUGUGAGGAAUAUUUAUGAAAAAUUUGGAAAGGUCAGUAUAGUGUUCAAUUUAACAUUUUCUAUAUAUCAGAUUAAGAUGGUAUAUAUUUAAGGGUGAUAAAGCAAUCCAGCGUUUUUAUUUUCUUUCCUUUUUUGGUGGAAAUUACUUUCCAACACAACAUCAUGGUAUAUUUAAGACCUAAUAUUUCAUAAUUUCAAAUAUUACAUAAUGUUAAACUUUCAUAUACAACAUUGCUAACACAUUUUUAUCUAUGUGAGCUCAUGCCCACCUUCUAUGUUAUAAUCACAACUUAUUUAAAAUUUUCUUUCACACACAUACACAUACAUAUUUUACAAAUACAACAUAUAAAAGAUACAGUGAAGGAGUAGAUUUGAGAGGUAUUUGAAAUCUAAGGUCAUCAACUUGUGGACUGUCACACAGAUCUGGUCUUCAGAUGCAUUUUCUGCACAUUGUUUCACAAACACUUAACAAUUUCCCAUGAAAGUAAAGAAGUUUAGCUUCUCUUUCAAUAAUCAGGUUAUCUGCCAUGACCUAUUUCUGAAUGGCAGCAUGCACUGGACUUGCAAAGCAUACACUCCCCUAUGAGAAAGACUCCACCACUCCCGUGGCCCAUCAGUUAAAACACCACCUUCAUACAUGUGCUGUGCCUGGUCCCUGUGGCUUUGAACUGUAACCUAUGAUAUAAAGAAAUAAUCAGGAGGACAUGAUGACUGACUAGAUAAGGAGAGUAAGAAGAAUUAUAGAAAGGAGUCAAGAAAAGGAUGGCACAUUUUCAAUUCAGUUUGACACAAACAAAAAUAAAAUAACUAAAUGUAAGAGAUUGUUGAAAUGCUGGGAUCCUCACCUAAUUCUGAUUUAGUGUGAACAUAUUCUUAAGGUACCCUCAUGAUCCCUGCUGCCUCUUCAUACCUUUGUAUGAAGUCCUCAGACAACUGUGUGAUGGAACUGUGAAUUGCUCCUAACCUACAGAAUACAAAAAACAUGUGGGAUGCAUGAUGCACUCAUGUGUCUGUAAUUUUGUGAUUAAGCUACACAAAGUCAUAGUGCCUAUCUUGCCAGGAUUGUUCACUAUCUUCCUGGCUCAGGACUCAAAUGGUUAUAAUGGGGAACCUCAAUGGCAAGGAACAUAAGUGGCCUUUAGGAGCAGAAAGCAUCCUUCAGCUGACAGAUAGCAAGGAGCUGAAACCCCUGGACUGAUAGCUACAAGAUCUGAAUGGUGCCAACAACCACAUAAGUGGGGAUGCAGAUCCUACCCCAGUCGAGCCUCCAGAUGAGAAUCCAGUGUACUG
rnacentral:lncRNA from 1 species